UACGUAGGCAGCGAGCGUUGUUUCGGAGUUACUGGGCGUAAAGAGUGCGUAGGCGGUUUUUCUAAGUUUUGGUGUGAAAUCUCCCGGCUCAACUGGGAGGGUGCGCCGAAGACUGGAAGGCUUGAGUAUGGGAGAGGUAAGCGGAAUUCCUGGUGUAGCGGUGAAAUGCGUAGAUAUCAGGAGGAACACCUGCGGUGUAGACGGCUUUACUGGACCAUAACUGACGCUGAGGCACGAAAGCGUGGGUAGCAAACAGG
rnacentral:rRNA from 1 species